AUUAUAACUCAACGCUGUAAUGUUGGGAAUGUUGAUUGGAUUUACACGGCGAGGAAAACAGUUGACUAUAAAAGCAGGCGAGAGUAGGUUGGAAGUGCUCAGCAGUGCAUCAACAGCUCAGCCUCAGGAUGGGAACUCAUUCACUGCUUCUCUUCUGCGGAACUAUAGCUUGUUGCGCCAUAUCUUGCAUUAAGGCUGACAGUCUUACGCUGAUCUCCAAGCACUUCAGUAACAAUUCCUACACUUGCUUCGUACGCCACACGAAGGAAGGGCUUGAGUAUCAUCUAACCUACAACGUAUGCAUCCUAGAACCUACCGCCACCAACAAUUUCCAUCCCGAGGAGCUUACGACCCUUCAAUGCUUUUACUACGAUUGCAUCCUAACCUCCUCGCAGCUGAUGAAGGCAGAGGAUGGUCAGUUGCGAUGCUUUCGUUAUGCGUACCUGGCCCCCACCCCGCACCAAACACAACGCCCAAUGUUCGAAAUUCGCCGUUGGUCCCGGCACCAGCGUCCAGCACAUUCGCGCCCUAAGCGAGACUUUAGUUGGGUAACGUUUUUGGAAAAGAUCUCCUUCAUGGGCCGGCAUCAGAGUACCGUGAGCAAGCAGAAUGAAGCGUACUUUCAUUACAAUUUUAUGAACAAACCGGGUAGUGGAAGUGCACAGCCAUCACCUUCGCCACCAUCACCACCACAACCUGCAGCUCCAGCGCCUGUACCGCCGGCAUUAGCUCCACAAACAGUUGAGCCGUUGGCAGCUGAGACAUAGUGAAGGAACGGGGGGAAUAAAAGUAUUUUGGAGGGGAUUCGGAGAGCUCGUCUCUGUAGAGAUUUUACCGCGGAAAGAACUUGUCUACAUGAUCGUGCUUAAUGUUGACUAUAGAUCGCUAUGGUUUUGGUGCUAAAUUGUGAGCGCUAGCGACGAUCAAUACUAUAGGACACUUCAAAACAUCUUUUUCUGAGAAAUUUUGCUUUGGUGGAAUAGUUAGCGGCUUGUGAGCGGUUGAAAAAUUGCUAAAAAAAUGCGAUCUUCGAAAGCUCGGAAGGAAUAGAUCAAGUCAGCUUAUUACUAGAUAUGGAUGACAUGGAUUCUUCCAAGUAGCCUUCAGAUGUUGAACGGACAGCGAAGAAUCUGCUUGGAUCGUAAUUCUUAAAUCCUUAUCGUUAACUGGAAAUGGCGGACGAAAGGGAUCAUUUUAUUCUGGACUCAUUUUGUCUUUGGUACUUGAGAGAAUUGGAGAUAACUUCAGUGAAGACUUUAGGUUGGACCUGUCCUUAACUCAUAUAGCCAAGAGGUUACUGGAGAUCAUAAAACAAGCGAAGAGACAACAUGUAACGAAGGUCUCCAAUGUCCUCCUAUGUCGCCUAUUUGCUGAUAUUUCAAGUGAUCUUCGAAGGCAGCAUCUUCUCUAAUAUUUUCGUAGAUCAACUCAAGUUGUAGAAAAUCUAGUAAGUCCUUUAAGAAGCUCAACAGAUUUACUGCUGAAAGCCUCUAUUGAUGGUCCAUAAAACGUAAGGCGAGCAGAUCGAAUCUAUUAGAUCCUACAAACGCUAAUGAAUUCUACAUUUCUUGCUCAUGUAGCUAUCACUAACGCCAGUGUUCACGUUCUGAUGCUACACGCUUCCAAGCAAUUAUGCGCAGGCAUUUUCCGACCUGACCUUCCAAAUAAAUGGCACGUUAAAAAACGCAUUAGCCCCAAACUGUCAGCCGCCCGGCGAACAGGAACAUUUCUAAUCUAAAUUGGGAAGAACCCCCGAAUGAGUGUCGCGCGUUUCACACACCUGACACCUGUCACUCGGUGAACUGCUCCGUGGUUGAUAAGCACCGACUCCAACUCUACAGUACAACGUGCGACUCAUAAACUAACCGUCGGUCGGAAAACCGGUCUCGAUCGCAACCCACUGGCUUAUCAUUCUACCGGAACUUCGAGCUUGGAGUAUAAAGCCUGGUAGUCAGCGUGGAGACACAGUCUAUUACUGUAUUACCGCAAACGCAACUACGUGUGAGCAUGAAGUUCGUCAAUGUUGACUGGAGUUGGGUGUCGAUGGUGGUGGUGGUGAUGGUGCUGCUGAUGGGCGCAGUGAUCUCCGGCACACCGCUGCAGUGUGACGAUCCGGAAGGAAAUCCGGAGGCAACGUACGGAAAGCUACAAUCGAUUCCACCGCCCAGUGGCGGCAGUGAAUCGAUCGCAUUGGCAGAUGAACCAAUGCAGUCAGUGCCGGCCAAAACGCAACAGGACGUGCUAAAGUCCAGAAACUCCAAAUUUCUCGGCGUAGAUCGAAGCUCCGAAGAGUCGUAAGGAGAAGAGGUCGUGUUCGGGGGCCGUCGAUCGUCUUACCUCAAAUACGUGAUUUUUGAAGGAAGCGUGUAGCACAUCUUCACUGCGCAAUCGGGACGUGUGCCGCACUCCGGCCAGAUGACACAGGCAGCAAUUGUCAUCGAUGAUGAUUUGGGGUUUUCGUCUACAAUAAAAAAAACAUACAAAAGAAA